CCUACGGGGUGCUGCAGUCGAGAAUCAUUCACAAUGGAGGAAACCCUGAUGGUGCGACGCCGCGUGGGGGAAUGAAGGUCUUCGGAUUGUAAACCCCUUUCAUGUGGGAGCAAAUUAAAAAGAUAGUACCACAAGAGGAAGAGACGGCUAACCCGGUGCCAGCAGCCGCGGUAAUACAGAGGUCUCAAGCCUUGUUCGGAAUCACUGGGCGUAAGGCGUGCGGAGGCUGUUUCGUAAGUCGUGUGUGAAAGGCUCGGGCUCAACCGGCGGACGGCACUUGAUACUGUGAGACUAGAGUGAUGGAGGGGGAACCGGAAUUCUCGGUGUAGCAGUGAAAUGCGGAGAUAUCGAGAGGAACACUCGUGGCGAAGGCGGGUUCCUGGACAUUAACUGACGCUGAGGCACGAAGGCCAGGGGAGCGAAAGGGAUUAGAUACCCUUGUAGUC
rnacentral:rRNA from 1 species